GCCAGUGUGGCAUAGUGUUUUCGAGUGCUGGACUAUGACUCAGGAGACCAGGGUUUGAAUCCCCGCUCAGCCA